rnacentral:lncRNA from 1 species
UUUUCACAAUAAUGUUUCAAAAUGUCAUUUUUUUUUCCAAAAAAGAAAAAACCGGAGAAAAUGAGAUUCUCUGGGAAGAGGCCUGAGUUGGGGAGAUCCCAGAUGCUGAGCCUCUCGGGCCUGUGCCCCUCACCUUGGCCCCGUCCUCCCCAGUCCUGCUUGUCCUGGGGUGGAGCGCGGGGACGAGAACUUUUGUCAGGGUUCGAUCUUGUCCCAUGGUGCUUAAAGAGAGGUGGCUUGGCAAGCCUUGAGUGAGUGCCUGCUGUGUGCAUGGCCCAGCCUGGGGCUUCUGGGCAAGUGUGCAGGUGCCUUGUGGGGGUGGGGAGGUCUGGCCCCGCAGGAGCGCGGCCUCGGCGGCGGUGGGCCUUCUCUGAGGUGGAGGGCUCCUGCAGCAGCUGUGCCUUCCAGAGCCCACCCAGCUGAGGUGGGACGCAGACCAGGGCGGCCAGUUUGAGGGGCUGGUGCAGCUGUGAACGGUGGCAGCUGUGGGUGCCCUGUAGUAAGAGAGAGAGGCAGGGCACACCUGGGGUAACCAGGCAGUGACAGGGGCCGUGGCUCUCCCCACACCUGCCUGCAGUCCUGGCCCUCCAGGCUGGGGGGCACCUUCCGGGGGCCGGCUCUAUCACUUGCGGUCCUCUCCUGUCUUGGAGCCCCUCAGCUCACAAGUCUCCCCUGGGCCCGCCUCCAGGGACUGGAGCCCCAGGCUGCACCCUCAGGACAUGGGUGGUGGGCGUGUGCUGAGUGUGUUUGUGUGUGUGUGGGGUGCUUGUGCAUAGACAGCGUGACCUCUGUGUGUGUGUACAGGCGAUGUUUGGAUGAGUGGCAGCUGGUGUGAGCAGACAGCAUGGGUGUGUGUAGAUGGUGUGUGCACAGAAUGUGUGCACAUGGAGCGUGUGUGUGCACACACAGGCGGGAAGGCACGCUGUGGGCAGGGGCUGGUGAAGAGGCCCCCCUGCCCCCGACUUCUCUCUCGUUCCUUCUGCUCCUCUCCAGUCCCCUGGUUCUUCCCUUGCCCUCUCUCUCUCUCUUUUUUUUAAAUUU